rnacentral:lncRNA from 1 species
CGAUGCCGUACCGGUACCCCGCAGCAGAAUGUGCAACCUGAGAGGAGCAGUCGGAAAAUUUAUACUGUGGUACCGGUACUCCCCUGCGUGGUAUCGGUACGCAUUGCUGAAAACCUACAAUUUGUAGAUUUCAAUGCUAAAAACCUGCUCUCGCGUUGCAACGAAUCCGUUCUGCAUCUAAUUCGAGCCAACAUGACUCGGACUUAUCCCCACACUCUCCAGAUGUGUCGACAAGCCUCAGAUGCUGUAAUUUCACAGCUGCUGGCCACUAGGGAUACUACAUGAAUAAAUCAGCCGAAUAAGUAUUUUUCGAAGAAUUCGAAAAAAAACGUGAUUUUUUAAUAAAAAUAAUUAUUCGCGAAUUAUAGAUUCUCGAAUAAUUCGCCUAAAAAACGCCCGCUCGCUCGUUGCGACUUGCAAGUCGCGCUCGCCGCUCGGGCAAAACAGAAAAAGGGAAAAAAAAGGGAAAACUUUAAAUACCCCUCUGGUUUCGCACUUUCUCACUUUAGUACCCUAUAGUUUAAAGUGUAUCAAAUUAGUACCCUGUGAUUUCGCACUUUCUCACUUUAGUACCCUAUGGUUUAAAGUGUAUCAAGUUAGUAUUCUGUAGUUUUAUUUUUGUAUCAAGUUAGUGCCAUGUGGUUUUAUUUUUCUCUUUUUAUUAUCCAUUUUGGGGUAUUUUUUUCGUUAAAUGAGUGACAAAGUUAACACUAAAGGAUACUAAAAUGAAUAUUCGAUAAACCUAGGUAGGAUAUAUGAAGUUUUUUGUAUAUAAUUUAACGAAGUAUUAAACCAUAUGGUACUAAAGUGAGAAAGUGCGAAACCACAAGAUAUUAACUUGAUACACUUUAAACGACAGUGUACUAAAGUGAGAAAGUACGAAACCACAUGGUGCUAAUUUGAUACACUUAAAAUCAGUGCGAAAUCACAUGGGGUAUUUUAAGUUC